CAGCAGUUAUCUCCCAGGCACAAGGCUAGCAGACACUUUAGGGAUAACCUCCCACAACACUUCCUACUGGAAAUGUUUCAUUUGAAAAAAUCAUAAAAAUAACAAUGAAGGAAGCAAGGAAUCCAGUCCAAAUUUCCUUUGUUAGGCUUUUGUGGUUCUGGUUCACUUAUUUUGGGGGGAUCUAAAGAAAAACGCAAACCAUCAAACCACUCUCCCACCCAGAAUUAUUGCUGUCUGUUCAGACGUGUGUGGGGAAGCUCAGAAGAAGGAGGUACUUUUAUGGGAAGUAACAGAAUGCAUCCAGUGUUAAAAACAAAAUCCGUGACAAACCAGUCUGACACCUACACAAAGCUGAAAUCUUGGUGCACAAUUAGUGAAUGCUCUACUUGCAACAUACACAGAAUUCAAACAAGAAAGUCUGUGUGGGAUAUAACUCAGAAAGGAUUUUUCUCUGGCAGGUAAACUAUGUCAAGGCAAGACUGCUAGCAAGUUUUCUUUUGUCUUGCUUCAUUUUGAUGUAUUUCUGUUAGUCAGUGUUUAAUUUGCCUAAGCAGCACACAGAGGGCUAAGCGUAGGAGGCUUUUGCAUACUUAAAUACUAUAAAAAGAAAGCUUUAGUACUGCUUCUGCAAAAAAAUAAUAAUAAUUUAUCACUUCUUCAAGGAUGUUUAUGGCAGUACACAACACAUGUCAUUGUCAAAUGCAAUAAAAACACUGAGUAACAAAACAAGUUUUCCUAUAUUUCCAAUCAAUUUAGUAAACUCCAAAUAACAUAGCCAAGCAGAUUUUAUUUAGGUAUCUUCAUUUACCACGGAAGAGGUACAUCUCUGCCUCCAUACUCGUUAACAAUAAAAAUUAUAGCCCUAAACACAACAGAAUAGCCAAACAAAUAUAAAACUAUCAGUGAGCAAGAGCUCUGAACAAACAGCCUUAUUCUUUCUGACAGCUCCUAAAUAAACCUCACCCUCACCACCCCAGCUUUAAGCUAAAAAAUUCAAGCACUGGCAUUAGCAUAGUCCCAGCAGCAAGGGCCCUAGUGAGAGGUGGAAGUUCCUCUUGGACACCAGGAAAAUCUUCAGGGAACUAGACCAUCCUCCACCUAGUUCUGUUAACACCAUCUGCUCUGCAGCACAGAGGCCAGUUCGCCUACAUCUGCGCAAUGGAGCAUUGCUGCUGGCAGCAUAGUGAACCCAUGCAAGAAAAUGAAUGAGAAAACAGAACUUGGCAUUUGUUCCAUUUUCGAGAAACUGCAGCAGUCUGGGUACUAGUAGAUGUCCCAUCUGCCCGCAGCACAUUACAGCUAUCAUUUGUUACUACUAUUCAAGCUCACUGGCAGCUUCUCCAGUCCCACAGUUUAUCUGCAAAAGAUCAGACUGCUGAGGUGUAAACCAGCCUUCCUUACCACUUCCCUACGAUGUCAGUGAGGCUACUGUCAGUCAGUGAGGGAAGGGGCAAACAUUUUGAGGAAUGAGCUACGUUGCUACCACCUUCUCACUUCAACCCCUGACAUGCUUGUGGGCUAAGAACAGCAAUGUUACUGGCACUCCACUCAGGUCACAGAUUUAUUCCUGGGAUACCUGAGAAGACACUUAACCACAGGAGAGCACCAAAAAACGCACCCUCACUGAGGACAGCAUCUAAAAACAGUUUGGUCCAGAGAACAGUGACUGGUGAAGGCUGUUAAUGAAAGAUGAGUGCAACAGCUAAUGACAGAAACAAAGGAAAUAAACUGAGAAUCACUGUGACGCUACGAUUUCCUAUACUCUCAACUAAAAGGAGAAUGU
ensembl:lncRNA